rnacentral:rRNA from 1 species
UACGUAGGGUGCGAGCGUUAAUCGGAAUUACUGGGCGUAAAGCGUGCGCAGGCGGUUCGCUGUGUCCUGUGUGAAAGCCCCCGGGCUUAACCUGGGAAUGGCAUGGGAAACUGGCGGGCUGGAGUGUGGCAGAGGGGGGUGGAAUUCCGCGUGUAGCAGUGAAAUGCGUAGAGAUGCGGAGGAACACCGAUGGCGAAGGCAGCCCCCUGGGCUAACACUGACGCUCAGGCACGGAAAGCAUGGGGAGCAAAAGGG